rnacentral:rRNA from 1 species
UAGGACGAACGCUGGCGGCGUGCCUAAUACAUGCAAGUCGAACGGUCUUUCUAUGGAAGCUUGCUUCCACUGAGAAGAUAGUGGCGGACGGGUGAGUAACACGUGGGUAACCUGCCCAUAAGAGGGGGAUAACAUCCGGAAACGGGUGCUAAUACCGCAUAGUUUUCUUGAUCGCAUGAUCGGGAAAGGAAAGACGGCCUUUGUGCUGUCGCUUAUGGAUGGACCCGCGGCGUAUUAGUUAGUUGGUGAGGUAAUGGCUCACCAAGACGAUGAUACGUAGCCGACCUGAGAGGGUGAUCGGCCACAUUGGGACUGAGACACGGCCCAAACUCCUACGGGAGGCAGCAGUAGGGAAUCUUCCGCAAUGGACGAAAGUCUGACGGAGCAACGCCGCGUGAGUGAAGAAGGUUUUCGGAAUCGUAAAACUCUGUUGUCAGAGAAGAACAAGUUGGAGAGUAACUGCUCCAGCCUUGACGGUAUCUGACCAGAAAGCCACGGCUAACUACGUGCCAGCAGCAGC